rnacentral:rRNA from 1 species
UAAGCCGUUGAAGGUGUGUUGUAAAGCAUGCUGGAGGUAUCAGAAGUGCGAAUGCUGACAUGAGUAACGACAAGGGGGGUGAAAAACCUCCCCGCCGGAAGACCAAGGGUUCCUGUCCAACGUUAAUCGGGGCAGGGUAAGUCGACCCCUAAGGCGAGGCUGAAAAGCGUAGUCGAUGGGAAACGGGUUAAUAUUCCCGUACUUCUUACAAUUGCGAUGGGGGGACGGAGAAGGCUAGGUGGGCCUGGCGACGGUUGUCCAGGUUCAAGUGCGUAGGCU